AUUUUACGUAGAGAGAGAGAGAGAGGGAGAGCGAGAGAGAGGGGGAGAGAAAAGGAGGAGGAGGUCACGGCUAAGGGGAGGGAGGAAGGAGAGGUCCGUUUUUGACGAUCCAACUCGGUGACAAGUAACGAGCCGGUCUUUUAGGAGGUGCCGAAACCGUAAGUUUGGCAUACUCCAGUCGAAUGAAAGGUGAGUGUGUCUGAUAUGGUUCUUCUCAAUAAGAUAUUGCUAUGGUGGUAUGUAUAUAUCUUGCUAAUGGUAUUUUAGCUUUCAAUAUGAUUAUCGAUAUGUAAUUAAUGUGGUGGAGGUGAUUAUAUAUCAAUGAUAUCAUGCUAAUCGAGGUUUAGCUAUUGAUAUGGAUAUAUGUGGUCGAAAUUGUAUAUCAUGCUAUAUACUGUUUUAGC